GCUUGUCUCAAGAUUAGACAUGCAUGUCUCAGUAUAAGUCUUUACAUGGCGAAACUGCGAAUGGCUCAUUAAAACAGUUAUAGUCUAUUUGAUGGUCAACAGUUAUAUGGAUAACUGCGGUAAUUCUGGAGCUAAUACAUGCGAAAAAACCCGACUUCUCGGAAGGGUCGUGCUUAUUAGAUACAGAACCAAUGCUCUUCGGAGUUUUUGGAUGAUUCAUAAUAAACGAAUGGAGCGCAUUGCUUGUGCUGGCGCUAUAUCAUUCGAGUUUCUGACCUAUCAGCUUUCGACGGUAGGGUAUUGGCCUACCGUGGCAUUGACGGGUAACGGAGAAUUAGGGUUCGAUUCCGGAGAGGGAGCCCGAGAAACGGCUACCACAUCUAAGGAAGGCAGCAGUCGCGCAAAUUACCCAAUCCUGACACAGGGAGGUAGUGACAAGAAAUAACAAAGCAGGCGCUUACCGCGUUCUGCUAUUGGAAUGAGUAGAAUUUAAAUCACUUUUCGACUAUCCAU
rnacentral:rRNA from 1 species